GGCGCGGGGCUUUUCCGAAAGGGGGUCGAAGUGUCAAUACAAAUAUAAAUCAAUGUUCCUCGGGCCCGGAUCGGAGAGCCGGCAAAAAGUUCCAGUCGCCCGGCCCGGCCGAAAUGUAUUCAUCAUGUUAACAAAAACUUCAGAUCUGCUUGGCUUACUUCGACUCGGCAUCUUCCUAAUUGGCUGCCGGUUAUGGAAACGCAGGGCCCGAGCACAAAUCGAGUUCGAUUCCAGUCCUACCGACGUCUCUGGGAAAAUCCUAAAAAAAAAGAAGUACCAGCACUGAUUUUCAUUAAUAUCGGGCCGCGUGAAAAAAUGGAAUUUGUUCAAUUUAAUGUAACAUGGUGGAGAAAACGCAAAAAGCUGAAACUAGGAGGGAAACAAGCGGAAACACAACAUGGAAAACUGAAAACUUUGCGGUGACGUCGGAAAAUUCCAUUCGAAGCUGUGCGGACAACCUUAAAGCGAAUUUAAGGCUUUCCCCCAGAGUUUCGAUUCGAAAAAUAAUACAAAUCGGAGUUCGUACUGUAAAAAGUUAGGACGA